rnacentral:lncRNA from 1 species
GAGGACAUACAAGCAGUCCAUAGAGUGGUCUAUUGGGCAGAAAUUGAAGCCUCCUGCCAACUACCAGCAUCACAAAACAGCUGGAUGUUAAUUGCCUACAUCUAGGGAAUACAUUGGAAUAAUGGAAUUUCACUUUGGGAUGCUUUGGCGGUAAUUCAAAGAGGUAAGGUGUUAUCUUCUAGACCAGGUGAAACUGAGGACAGAUUUUUGUACCAAAUUGUAAGAGUAAGCCUAUCCUGAUCUGCCAUAAAGAGCUGGGUUUCAAGUACACACAAAAAGCAUUUGAUGGGGUGAGAAUACCAACACAUAAGCAUGGUUCUCCAGGGGAGCUGGAGUAGGAGCUCCUGUAGGGAGCUGACUAGAAGACCAGACAUACGUACUGAGCCCCACAUUGAGACUCACAAGAACAGAUCCUCUUAUUUCCAGGUUUAAUUUGCAGGGUAGCUGCUUCUCACAUGAGAAGCUUCUAGUAGGCAUGUUCCAAUGUUGAACAGCUGCAAGUAGUUCAUUAUUUAACAGUGAUUAAUAACUUGUCAGAACAAUUCCAUA